CUUACCGUGGUGGUAACGGGUGACGGAGGAUUAGGGUUCGAUUCCGGAGAGGGAGCCUGAGAAACGGCUACCACAUCCAAGGAAGGCAGCUGGCGCGCAAAUUACCCAAUCUUGACACAAGGAGGUAGUGACAAUAAAUAACAAUACCGGGGUUUUUCAACUCUGGUAAUUGGAAUGAGUACAAUCUAAACCCCUUAACGUGGAUCAAUUGGAGGGCAAGUCUGGUGACAGCAGCCGCGGUAAUUCCAGCUCCAAUAGCGUAUAUUUAAGUUGUUGCAGUUAAAAAGCUCGUAGUUGGAUUUCGGGCGGGCCCGGCCGGUCCGCCUCAGCGUGUGCACUGACCGGGCCCGUCUUGCUGCCGGGGACGGGCUCCUGGGCUUCACUGUCCGGGACUCGGAGUCGGCGAGGUUACUUUGAGUAAAUUAGA
rnacentral:rRNA from 1 species